AGUCGAACGGAAAGGCCCUUUCGGGGGUACUCGAGUGGCGAACGGGUGAGUAACACGUGGGUGAUCUGCCCUGCACUUCGGGAUGAGCUUGGGAAACUGGGUCUAAUACCGGAUAGGACUACGGCAUGCAUGUGCUGUGGUGGAAAGUUUUUAACGGUGUGGGAUGGGCCCGCGGCCUAUCAGCUUGUUGGUGGGGUGAUGGCCUACCAAGGCGACGACGGGUAGCCGGCCUGAGAGGGUGUCCGGCCACACUGGGACUGAGAUACGGCCCAGACUCCUACGGGAGGCAGCAGUGGGGAAUAUUGCACAAUGGGCGCAAGCCUGAUGCAGCGACGCCGCGUGGGGGAUGACGGCCUUCGGGUUGUAAACCUCUUUCACCAUCGACGAAGGCCCGCUUUUGGUGGGUUGACGGUAGGUGGAGAAGAAGCACCGGCCAACUACGUGCCAGCAGCCGCGGUAAUACGUAGGGUGCGAGCGUUGUCCGGAAUUACUGGGCGUAAAGAGCUCGUAGGUGGUUUGUCGCGUUGUUCGUGAAAUUCCCUGGCUUAACUGGGGGCGUGCGGGCGAUACGGGCAGACUGGAGUACUGCAGGGGAGACUGGAAUUCCUGGUGUAGCGGUGGAAUGCGCAGAUAUCAGGAGGAACACCGGUGGCGAAGGCGGGCCUCUGGGCAGUAACUGACGCUGAGGAGCGAAAGCGUG
rnacentral:rRNA from 1 species